rnacentral:rRNA from 1 species
UACGGAGGGUGCGAGCGUUGUCCGGAAUCACUGGGCGUAAAGGGCUCGUAGGCGGCCAACUAAGUCCGACGUGAAAUCCCCAGGCUUAACCUGGGAACUGCGUCGGAUACUGGAUGGCUUGAAUCCGGGAGAGGGAUGCGGAAUUCCAGGUGUAGCGGUGAAAUGCGUAGAUAUCUGGAGGAACACCGGUGGCGAAGGCGGCAUCCUGGACCGGCAUUGACGCUGAGGAGCGAAAGCCAGGGGAGCAAAACGGG